GCAAAGAACAAGUGGCACGCUCCAGUGAUUAUCUCGAUGGGCAACUGACCUUUCGCGAGCGCCUGCUGAUGCGCCAUCACCUGAUGUUCUGUGCCAACUGCCGGCGCUUCAUUCGCCAGAUGCGGCUGAUGCAAGCCACCUUGCGCAUCCUGCCCGAACCCGAGGUGCCGGAUGCACAAGGGUUGGCCGAACGCCUGGCCUCGGAGCUCAAGCGCAACUCCUGACCGCCUUCCGCUGGACCCAACGCCCGCGACGUCGCCAUCGCGGGCU
rnacentral:sRNA from 1 species